rnacentral:lncRNA from 1 species
AAAAAAAAAUUGAAUCCUAGGCAGCAGACAACGUCUGGAAAGUUUUCUGAAGAGAUGAUGGAAAUUGUAGUUCCCUUGCAGAAGGUGACUCAAAUACCAAAUCAACAAAUUUCAGUAGUCAAUUUCUCGAUAACUUGCAGAUCAGGUUACAUAUCAACUUUUUGCAGUAUCCACAUUGAUAACAGUAGAAUGAUUUACAACUCAGCAUAAUUUAUUUCAUAUAAAUUUGAACUUAACUGAACUUAACAUCAGGAAACCAAUGCCUUGCUUGGUGCUGCUCAUCUCCUAUUCACCUCAGCACAUCUCAGAAGAUGAUCCUCCCUGCCUUGAGGAGGCUUGAAGGUGUCGCCCCUUCUUAGCAGCAAGGGUAGACGGCGAUGCAGUGCCUGCGUCGGGGAGGUGUGCACUUCAUCAGCAGCAGGCCAGCAGCAUGGCAAGGACGAUGGUGACGAGCAGCCCCAGCAGGUUGAAUGCUGGCUAAUCAUCUCCCUGGCUGCAACACAGCUUGCCCAUGUUAGCUGUUAGAGGGGGAGGAGAUUAGUUCUUGGUACAAUGAGGAUUAAGGAGAGCAGGGACAUGGUUAAAGGCUUCUUUCUUGGCUUGCAAUUUCUUUAUGGCAACGACUCUGGAUACAGGUCAGUCUUUCUAGUAUAUUACCAUAACUAGCCUUGGACAGCUGUGUUGUAGGAUAAAUAUACUACUGCUACUAUUUGCUAGUUGUUGACUUCUUGGUUUAAAUAAACAUAAAUUUAUAUUUGCAAUUAAUUUACUGAUUAUUUUUUCUUUCACUGCCGGGGAAAUAUCAAAAUUAGGUGAUCUUUUUUUAUCUGGAUGUGUGCAUGGAAACUUUGGAUAUUCUGUAUGAGACUCUCUUUACUUUUUAACUCUCCUUGCUCACUUGCUGCUUCAACUCUUGUAUGCAUGCUGCAUUCCUAUUGCACAUAUUUUGGAAAGAGCUGCCACCAAAUUAAUGCCUGACACGAAAUUGUUUCAAUCCUUUCCAGGUUGCUGCAUAUGCUAUAUCAGUUCCUAAGCAGACACGGGAGUUUCCAAUACUUCCUUGGAGUAAGCAACUCCAGUUUAUUUAUGCAUGAUUUAUUUUUUUCUAUCCAUAAUCCAUUUGGAAGAAAAUGAACAACAUUAAUUGUAGCUUAGGUUUAGAUUAUUUCUUUGUAUCUAGUGCAUCAAAGAGUAUUGAGUUAUUGCUACCUCAAUCAACACCAGCUGUUCAUGUAGUACUAAUUUAUGAACAAGACGUAUUUGAUGGAUUAUCAGGCCUAUGAGGUUACACAUUAAAACAGCUGCAUUUUGCAUCAGGUUUGCUACAUCAUAUGAUGAGGAGUAAAUUAUGAAUAUUGUUCUGACAAUUCUCCUGCAUGUGCUCAAACUGGAUGAUCAGAGAGAAGGACAAAGGAAAUUUUGAUGUCAGAUGUUUACUGUGAAUAUGUGAUGUGUAGAGCACAAGAAUGUGCCCCAGUUUUGCCUUUGAGUUGUGAAGUACUAACGCCAGCAAACUGAGUACAGAAGAUGUGCCUGUAGAAGACAAUUUAGCCUCCUUGCGUCCAGCGGUUCAAGAUUAAGAUGCCCUGAAUGGCCAUGUGAACUGAACUGUAUGAUGAUUAAAGGACACACACAUAAGCUUAACGUAAAGGAAUUCUGUAUUGGAUAUAUGAUGAUAUGUCGAAG